rnacentral:rRNA from 1 species
CCUACGGGUGGCAGCAGUGGGGAAUAUUGCACAAUGGGGGAAACCCUGAUGCAGCGACGCCGCGUGAGUGAAGAAGUAAUUCGUUAUGUAAAGCUCUAUCAGCAGGGAAGAGAAUGACGGUAUCUGAGUAAGAAGCCCCGGCUAACUACGUGCCAGCAGCCGCGGUAAGACGUAGGGGGCAAGCGUUAUCCGGAUUUACUGGGUGUAAAGGGAGCGUAGACGGCGGUGCAAGUCUGGAGUGAAAGGCGGGGGCGCAACCCCCGGACUGCACUGGAAACUGUACGGCUGGAGUGCAGGAGAGGCAAGUGGAAUUCCUAGUGUAGCGGUGAAAUGCGUAGAUAUUAGGAGGAACACCAGUGGCGAAGGCGGCUUACUGGACUGUAACUGACGUUGAGGCUCGAAAGCGUGGGGAGCAAACAGGAUUAGAUACCCCAGUAGUC